UACACACCGCCCGUCACACCAUGGGAGUCGAUAACGCCCGAAGUCAGUGACCCAACCUGUAAGGAGGGAGCUGCCGAAGGCGGGAUUGAUAACUGGGGUGAAGUCGUAACAAGGUAGC
rnacentral:rRNA from 1 species